rnacentral:lncRNA from 1 species
CCUCAGUCGUCGUUUUUCUUCCUCUCUUUCAUGCCUGAGCAUAGUGUAUUCGUCUAGCAUAGCAAGGAGAGGAACACCGUCGUAAAUAAACGAGAUGCCACGAUCUUCCUCCCAAGCCCGAGUUUUGGCAAUUAAAGUGUCAACAAGAGCUAUAUAACCAAGCCAUCAAGAAGAGCCAAGCAUUAAUAUCCAGGGAUCGUAAGGAGAGUAUUGAAGUUCUCGUAUGUAUUUACAACAAACCUGGAAUUUUGUUAACCAGAAUUCUAGCUUUCUCUGCACGUUUGAGAUUCAAAUGAGCCCCUCUGCUAGCAUUGUACCUAUUAUCAUCCUGCAAGGUGACGCCACAAUGGUGUCAAAACAUAACACAACACAACACAAGUCCAGUAUUUUUGAGAAAUUAGAAGUAUUAGCAUAUACAUUUUAGUCUGAGCCUAUAGGAAUGGCAUUCAAAGUUUCAACUGUGAAACUGACAUGAUGUAUAUGUUGCUAAUCCUUUGCACUUUUAUCAACAAUGGUAACUUGGUAAGAAGUAAAAUUAAUUGCAAGUUUUCCAGUUUUUUUUUUUUUUUUAAAGCAAGUCCACGUUUUAGAUCUGUGAAUUUACAAACUGCAGCCAUACAGAAACGAAUCUUCCAUGGCUGAUUCAACAUACUGCUAGGCAUUGAAAUCUAUAACAAGUGUUGGAUAUUAUGGGUUUGUGUACAAUUAGAAAAAAAAUCAUAUGUCCAGCCAUGUUCAGUAAAUAAAAAUUUCAAGUUUUCAACUAUAUUCUAAUAAAAUCCAUGUUAAAACUGAAGCAGUUCAGGGAAUAUGAAAUGGCAAUUCCACAGAAAAUUAUAAACUGCCAAUCAGUUUAUGGUUCCCUGAAACUGAAUUUACAUAGACAAAUCAACGUAAUCGCAAGUUUUUAUAAUAGCGAUUUUUUUUAAUAUCAUAGCAGAAAAGGACAAGUACCCGAUUGUAGUCUUCCAGCCAGCUCUCUUCUUCACAAGCUAACAUCCAUUUUUCAACCUUGUCUAGUAUUUCUUUCCUGCUGAGAACUUCUUCUUUGGCCUUUGUUAUUUGAUCGUCCAUGUCAUCCAAUAAUUCAGCCGGCUCGACAUUACCAGAAUCAAUGAGUGCCAUAAUUUUUUCUCGAGCUGCCUCCGGGUCUAUUUCUAUGUGAGCGUGAGAAAAUAUCUCUUCAAGUUCAGAUUGUUUCUUGAAAGCAAUUUCCUUCAUCCUACUAGCCUUAAGUUGAUCAAGCCUCUCAACCUCCACCUCAGCCUUAUAAAUUUAACAUGUAGAACAAAAAAAAAUGUCAACAGCCACAUCUAUUCAAAUUUACUGCGUGAUAUCUACAGAAUACUCAAAUACCUGCUCAAUCAAAUCAAGAGCAAGAGCCCCUGGGACAGUCACUUCAUCUACUGAUGCUGAUAUAUUACACGUGACAUGGUCAAAUAAACUUCUUUCUUCUGAAGGGGUAUCCAUCAAAUUCCAAAGAUCAAUCAGCUGAGUUGCCAAUUCUUGAAGCUGUAUAAGACAAAAUACAAAAUAAUUCAAUGUUAAAAAGCUCCAAAUAAACAAGUUAACUGAAGUACAUAGUACUUCACCAUGGCAAUAUCACAACAUCAUAAUCUAGAGGUCGAAAUAAUGCAAGCUCUAGUAUGAAUGAGAAUGUACACAAUAAAUGUUAUCUUUACCCCCCAACACCUGACAGAUACAGGUGUUGUUGAAAUAUAGUAGAGUGGCCCAUGCAUUGGUUCAAGCUCUAAAAAGCUCAAGUUUCCCAUUCAUUGCUAUAUGUACUAGUUGCAAAUAAAGGAGGAAAGUUAACCGGUUCAAGCUCUAAAAAGCUGAAGUUUCCAAUAAAUUGAUAUAUGUACUAGUUGCAAAUAAAGGAGAAAAGACAUACCCAGCUAAGAAACAGUCAGAGCGUAUGGCAUGCCUCUGCUCCCAUUUUAAUGUUGACUAAAGCAAUAAAUUCAUUCUCGAUGCAAUACACAGGUAUUCUAAUUCUAAUUUCAUUUUAAAGAUAAAAAUGAGAGAUACAUUUUUGUGGGAAGAUUUAAGAUUUUAAACUAGUUGAAUAAUCUGAAGAAAAAAAGUUCAUUUAAAUAUCCUUUCAAUCAUGAUUGAUACAGAUUCUAAUGUAUAGGUUUUGCAUGUUUUCACAUUUUGCACCAGGGAAGCAAAGCAAAUGUAAUUUUGAAAUUUUCUUCUUUAGAGUGUGUUUGAAACUACUUCUUCAGUAAAUUUGGAGGAUCUAGAGUGUUAAUCAAAGAAUCUAAAGUGUUUGGUAAUGAAUAAAAAUCACUUGCAUAAUCAUCAUCUUGGUUUUGAAUCCUUUUUUGAAGAAACGUUUUGAAGUUGAUUAUCAAAAAAAUAAAUAUAAUGUGGUCUGAAGUUGAUUAUCCAAAAAAAUGAAUAUAAUGUGGUUGAUUGUGAAUCACUUUAUGAUUAAUUUAGCAUUUGUAGAAUCACUCCGAAUGUAGGCAAGCAAAUGAACUUUUGAUUAGAGAAAACACGAAUGUUUUGGUUAUAACAAUUUUUAUAAGUAGCAUUUUAAUAAAAAUGAAUAUUCUUAAAAAGUAUUCAAAUUAGAAGGUGCUCCAUAAAUAAACCCAGAAUAUUAAAUUUACCUUAUGUAGCCUUUGCUUUUUAUCUUCUUUCAGCGCUAAGACCAUCUUUGCCAGCUUGGAUAAAGUAUCAUUGCUAAUGCUUUUAGAUUGCACACCAGUUGCAUCAUUUAAGCUUGGGUGAACCUCGGUUACAGUGGCAAAGAAAUCAAUUCCAAGGACAGCACACAGAUCAUGCACAGUGCUCACAAAUUCAAGAACUUUGUGCAACCUAUCACUCUGUUCAUAUUUGAAUAUUGGAUCAAAUAUUGGCGUGAUGAAGGAAGAAAUAAAAAUAAAAAUAAAUUGCACCCCAUAAUAGAACUUCACCUUUUCCUUCUGCAGUUCCUGAAGUUGGCAAUGGUAUUCAUCAAGCUUUUCUACCGAAAGUUGAGAUUCAUCUACUACUGGAUUCUCGCUAAGGUUUAAACUCCCAGCAAUCUCCCCACAUAUUUUCUGAAUCUCUGAUUGUACAUCAAAAAAUUCCUUAACCCUCUGCUCUUUCUGUUUCCAAAGCUUUUCCAGAGCUGGAGCUAUGGCGGCAAGCUGUUCUUUGAUUGUUCCAGAAGCCUUCUCAGGCUGUAAUUAAAAGAAGAGAAUAGAGCUUGAUAUGAAUCACCAAACAACGCAUCAGCAUUGUCUCAGAUAUAAAAGGGGUCAUAUAAAUUAUUUACUCACAAAUUCAGAAAAACUUUUUUCACCAAGAGCAGAUAGAAGACUGGAAAGCUCAUGCUUUGCAUCUGAUAAAGACUGCAAAAGUUUUGCCCUUGACUUAUCAGCUAGCUCCACUUUCCUUUUGUAGACAUCCAAACAUUCUUGAUCUAUCUGAAGCAGCAUUUUAUCUCGUUCCUCAUCAGUUUCACCAACUUCAUCCCAAAUUUCCUAAGAUAGUCUUUGGUCAGUCCAUAAAAAUUUUUAAGAUGAAAUAGAGGAAGCAAAAGAUCAACAGCGUGAUUUAUUUACUUGUAGUUUCUGCAGUAGGGUACCACAUGUGGUUUCUCCUUGAAGAGGAAUUUGUGUAUCCGCUACCGCCAUUCACAAAUCUGUUAACUUCACACCUUUAUCUGCAUCAAUCAAACUCUCAAAGUUAGGUUCUGUGCAUGAAACCAUGCAAUGUUAAUCCUGGAGAUCACAUCACCCCCACACAUUUCACAUGUUUUGAAUCUUGAUGCCAUUUUAAAAAAAAAAGGUAUAUGAGAGACUGGAACCACAGUACCAAAACAUAGUGGCCAAACAAUUUCUAUAAACAUAUAUAUCUCUGUGCAUAAAGCAUGGCAUGUGUAUAUGGAUGAGAGAGAGAGAAAGAGGGAGCAUUCAUAAACUUAACUUACAAUUCAUCAAACUGACCGAUUAACAAUUCCUUCUACUCAUAACCCAAGAGCUAGAAAUUAUUCUUAUUCUAAGUUGAAAUAAGUAGUUCAUCUCAUUUAAACGCACUUAAUCAACCAAAUAGACUCCAACACAGUCCCCCACCACAACAAUUCACUCUGGGUUUUUAAGAAUUAAGUCAGAAAAAGGUACGAAUCUCAAAUUUCGCAAAUUCACAAAAAUCGCAGAACCACAACAAACAUUAAACCCUAUAUUUCAUAAAACCAAGAGCAAGAAAGAAUCGGGGACACUCCGCACUCUCACAGUAGAGACAUAGUACAAUCACAUUCCAGGAGGAAGAACAUGAAAAUUCAACUGAAACCCAUGUAUGAAAAUUAGAACGGCCAUUGAGAAAAAUGGCCACUAAAAUCAUCCUCGAAGCCAAUGCUUCUGUGAAUACAGCUUCAGAUCUACAAAUACUCCCAUUCCAUCAAAGAGUUCCCACGAUUAACACGACCGACGUAAGUCAUUCCACCAAAGGUAAAAAAUCAGUCCAAAAAAAAAAAAACAAAUUAAACCAGCUCAAGCAAGCUAGAGACCACAAAAAAAACCCCUCAUUACCAAAACCCACAACCAUAAACACAAAAUCACAAAUGCAUAUUACGCAACAACAAAUACCCGAUCCUAAACCCUACAUUUCAGAGAAUUAAGAAUCUACAACACCCGGAUCUCAGUCAUUACCAGAUUCCACCAAUCACAUUCCAGGAAAAAAAAAAAAACAGAGCAAAGACGUUGAAAGAAAGAAAACCCAGAUACAGUAACUCAAACCCAUGACUAGCAUUAGCGGCAAAAGAAUCAAACAAAGAAAAAAAAAUCAAUACCCAGAUCUUGGAAGAAGCAAAAAAUGUAUUCAGAUCUACAAGAAAAGAGAACUUGUACUGUAAGUGUUGGUGAUUGUGGAUGUGAGUGAUGAAAAGUAUAAUAACUAUGAGAGAACAGAGAAAUGGAGAGAGGAGAGAGAGAGAAGAAUACAGAGAGAGUGUGAGAGACAACAAUCCAGAGCAUGCAGAUUAGAGGAGAAAAUGAUGGAUGGGAAGGGAGGAGGGUUGGGGGUUUGGUAAUGGGACCCUUAAAUACAAACAAUAUCCAAUUGUUUCAACAUUAUAUAUCAUAAUUAAUUAAUUUUUUCUUUUAUGUAAUCACCCUUAAUUACCAAAGUGACACUCUCACUAUACAAUCAAUACUCAUUAACAUAUCAUAAUGCUACCCUCCGCCUCUCUCAAUAAUCAAUAUCAAAAUUGCUCAAAAUAUGAACAUAACAUAACAACUCAUAAAUAAGUAAAUAAUAAUAAACUAAUACACAAUACUUUUUAAUUAUAGAAUUUAAAAUUUGGUUAUAUUUUGUAAAUAUUUGUUUUUAUUAUAAAAUAUUUUUUAAAAAAUUAUUCGGAUUCAUAGAAAGAGAAAGAUUUGUUGUGAAUUGUCAUGUGGCCUAUCCCCACUCCCUAUCUCAUUUCUUAAUCACAAUUCCCUUCUCUUCAAUGAUACCUAUUAUCUUUUCUUUCUAAUUUAUUUUUUUCCUUUUUCAUUCAAAGAAGGGUGAUGGAUUUCUAACCAACUAACUUUUUCUUUUUAAUUUUAGGUUUAACUAAAAUAAAUGAAAAACAAUAUACUUUAUUUAGCAUACUACAUUGAAACAAAAACCAAUAAGACAAUAAACUAAAAAUAAGAGUGGAACGAAUCGAUUCUCUAGUAUAGUUUUUGAGCCACACCUUCCACAACUAAAAAUUACAACUAUGAAAUGAUAAUUCAUUUGAAGAUAUAAUUUUUUGAAAAAUUGCUUCAAAUGACAAAAACAUUUAGAAAAAUUAGUGAUAUCAGAUAACUAUCGUAUGGUAAUCAUAGGACUAUCAGACGGUAACCAUAGGACUAGAAGAAGAUCAUCACUUUUAAAUUUGCUACUUUUGCAUGUUCAUAAAAUGUUAUAACAUAAAGCUCUAUUAUCAUAAUUCUUUUUGCUAUUUUUGUAAAAGUCCCUCAUUUUUUUUACUGUUAAUCCGUUGGAAACCAGGACACGGAUUGUGAUGAUCUCGAAUGACAUCAACGAAAUCCUAAAUUUUGUUUACUUUCCAAAACUACCAUUAAAUAGAAAGUUGUCGUAAUAUUAAAUUCGGUACUGUAAUAGAUCAUCACAAUAUCUUAGCUUAUUGUUAUACAGAUUUAAGUCUCAAUUAUUCGUUCUAAUAUAUUUUUAUAUACUUAUAGAAUGAGAAUUUGGACCAUAUUUUACCCAUACAAUUCUCAAUCUAUAAUUGGUUAAUAAAUACACAUUUCCAUUCAUUCAAAGAUAUGUAAUCAAUUUAAAUAUAAAACUUGAUUUAUUAAUUUAGACAUAUAUUUUCAAUCCACAGGUUGAAUUUUUGUUCUUAUCUCCACCAACCCUAUUGGCAAAUUGGAGAAAAAAAAUAUAUUUGUAUGUUGUUUAAUUUUAUAAUCGAAAGUUUCCAUUUGUGUGGUGUUUAAAUUUUAGUAAAUAUAGAAUGAUAAAGAAAAUCGAUAUAUAUAUAUAUAUAUAUAUAUAUAUAUAAGAGAUAUUGUAAAAAAAACAACAAAAUAUUCACUUAAAAAUUAAGUUUUUGUCUUUUUAAUGGGUUUUUUAAAGUAUAAAUAGUUUUUUUUCUUUCUAUCAUUGAAAAAUACCCAAAAAAAAAAAAAUAUAGUGAAUUUGCUUUCUAAAAUUAUUAUAAAUUUAGUCCACAGUAACCUUUUACGACUUUUUCAUAUAUAACAAAAUGGUGGAAAAAAAUUUGUAAGUUAGUCUGAUUUUGCUAUAUUUAAAAAUAUUUUUAAGAAUUUAUUCUUUAAAAUAAGUACUUUUUUUUUUCUUUUAACUACUUUUUGAAGUUUUGUCCAAAGCCCUAAUGUCAAACAAAAGAAAUCCACUUUUGACAUUUCCCCCUUUAACAAUUUAACCAAUAUUUCAAAAGUUACAGUAAAUAAAUUAGCCAUUAUAGUUUCUACUGUUUUUCUUAGAGAAUUUAAAAAAAUAAUCAUUAAUAUAUCUUUAAAUCGUGAGAAUUCAAAAUUAAAAUACAAAUGAUUAAACAUGACCAACACCAAACAUUUAGAAAUAUAUUAAUUAAUUUACGGUAGAUGUUCUUCAAAUUUUGUUUAAAUAAAAUGAAAGGUUAAUAUUUUAACUUGAAAUAUUUAGAAAACUUUGGAUUUCACUAAAUUGUUGAAUAAAAAAUUUAAAAUUCAAAGACGGCAUGCAUAACACAACAUAACUUACCAACAUUAUUUAAAUAAAUUUGAUGUGACAUGACAACCCUUGUACAUAAAAUUUAGUAAAUUUCAGUGGUCAAUGUUAUCAUUAACAUUUUUUAAUGGAUAAUUCACCAUACAUUUAUCACACCUAAAAUUGAGGUUAUUUAUGAUUGUAAUUUUUCUACCAUGAGUUACCUCAUUUAUUUUUUAAAAAAUAAUUUGAAUAGAAAACUCUUUUAUGUAAACUGUUUUUAAAAAUAAUUUUAAAUUAAGAAAAUUAAGAAGAUAAUUGUCUAAACUUAUAGAUGUAAUGAAAGCUUAUGAUGAAAGUUUAUUAAUUUGAAGUAAAAUAAAAAAAAUGGGAAGAAGAAAAGUGUUUGAAGGACCCAAAGUUUGAUUAUUCCAAAAUUGUGAAUCUAUCGUGAGGACAAAAUUCUUGCAAGUUGGAAGUGAAUGAAGGAAGGAAUUUUUCUUUUAUAACGUGCAAUUCUGAAAAAAACAAAAGUUUAAAGGUAUGAACAAAGAAAUUAACUCACUACCUUUUGUUUUUUUUUUAUCUGUAAAUUUGCAUUUCAUGUAUAUAUUAUUUUGUUCAUUUAUUACUAUUCAAUUUUAUUCUAAUAACCCAUUUUCAUUACUUGAAGAUUUAUAAAAUUUGAUUGAAAAUAGAAACGAGGGAAUGGAAAGCAAAAAGGGAACCACGGAAUUAAGAAAAUAGAAUUAGAAAGAAGGUAACAUUAAAUAGGAAGUAGAAUAUUGGAGUGUUUGACUAACAAUAAUGGUGGGACUCUGGUUUGACAAUUGAUGGAUGCUAAGGCCAUGUUUGUUGGUAGCUCUGGGUCCAUUUACAUCACCCAUUAUUACAACCACAUUUAGGACAUUUUUGCCUCAUGCUACCGAUCAAACCUAAGAAUUUUUGUUUCUUAACUAUUUUUCUUUUCUUUCUUUUAAAAAUAAUCACAAAACUUCUUUUCUAAUGUAGGAUGUGAACAUUCCAUCGAUUUUACGUACUUAGAUUAAUUAAUCCGACUUCUUUUAGUUGAGAGUACAUGAUCAUACCCAUUAACCUAUCUCAUCUCCAGAUUUUAUUUGUUAUAUAUAUGAUACUAUUCGUCAUUGUAGCUAAAGUAUUGUCAAAUGUAAUUUCACUUCUUUUUGUUACAUUGUUCUAGAAAGAUAUUCAAAUUUUAUUUCAUUGUCGGUUUUACACAAAUCUUACGUUGAUAUAUGUAAUUUUGUGGAGAAACAUAACCAACGAAAUAUUAAAAAGUAUACAAACAAAUAUGUUAUGCAAGAGAAGUUUUAACUUCUUUUUUUUUUAAAUUAACGAAUAUUCAUAUACACUUUUUUUGAAAUAUUAGGUAAAUAUAGAACAUUCUCGGAUAGAAAUCAUAUAAAACAAUAUAUAUCUAAACGAUGUUGGAUAUAAGUAAUUCUCGAGAUUUAUAAUUUCAGACAUUUAAAGAUUUCAUUAUCUACUUUUAAAGAAUAAAAAAAUGGGUGUUUUUGUUGUGUUUUUUUUAAAUAAAUUAAAUCAUUAAUACUACAAAAUAGAGUAAAUAUUUUAAAAUUUAGGUGGAUGGAAAUAGAAUUUGGCCUUGAAAAUAUAUAGUUGAUUAAAGGGUUUAACAUGUGUGUUUGGUACUUUGAUCUAUAAUGUGUAACAUAUUUUUAUUUUAUGUUGUGACCUUUGUCUUUGUUUUGCUAUUAUAUUUUGUGUUGCCAUUCUUAGAUUUUGAUAUAAGAGUCUCAUAUACAUGUGGGUUAGAGAAAUUAAUAAAAUUAUCAAAUGGGUUUUUAAGUAAAUUUAAGAAUGAAAGUAAUUAUAUCAAAUAGGUUUUAAACUAAAUUUAAGAUUGAAAUAAGUUUGAUAUCAAAAUUUAGGUUAGAUUCCUUAUUUACAAAUUAGGUUAUUUCUAACUCAUUCGUAAAAUUAUUGGUAAAUGACAAAAUUGUUGAAAGUAUUGACAAAAUAUAACAAAAAUUUCAAAUUCUAUAUCGACGCUAGAUACAGAUAAAUUUCUAUCAAUGUGACUGAUAAAAUACUAGUAGAAGUUUAUCAAUAUCUAUCAUUGAUAGAAUAUGCAAUUUUGUAAAUGAUUCAUACUGAAAAUAGCUCAUUUUGAGUUUAUCGUGGUCUAUCUGUAUUAUGAUAUACACAUACAAUAAUGUGUUGUGGUCUAUCGAUCGCAAUAUUUUGUUAUAUUUAUUUAUAAAUAUUUUUAAAACUUUUAUGGUUGAAAAUGUUUAUAAUUCAAUCAAAUGAAUAUAUUUUAGAUUGUGAUUACCUAUUUACAAGUCAAUGUUUUAAAUUCUCAUCCAAACCAUUAAUAUACAAUGGAAAAAAAAGAGUGCUUAAUUUAUUGAGGAUUGAAGAUUGUUGGGCAAUAAAUAAUGUGUUGAUCUUUAUUAUUGUUAUUAUUUAUUUGGACAAUAAUAAUGUGGUAAAGGCUAAAAGAACUAUGAACUUUAUUGGUGAAUGACCAUAGGCCCUCAUGUUAUUAGUAUUUAUUAUUCUUAUUAUAUACUCUAGGAGUGAUUUUUGACUCAAAACAGACGAUGGUCGUUUUUAUGAAAAUUUUGAACUAUUUGAUAAGAAAGGAUAAAACUCGAGCUAUAUUAAAACCACACAAUUGAGUCCAAUUAAGUAUGGGAAGAUGGGAGGUUUAGAUCAAGGCCCAAAUUGAACUACUCCAGUUUAGUAGAGGAUGAACUUCGACGCAGUUUUUUCUCAUUCGAGAAAUGGAGAAUACUAGAAUUUGUUUUGAUUUCGAGAAAAUUGUUUAGGUCAAAAGCUCAAACCAAUCUUCUUAGCCUUCACUCAAGAAUUAAUUUAAUUUUAUUUGAAAACACUCAUAUCGUCACAAAGUCGAAUCAACCUCUUCAAACUCUACUCUAAAAUCUAUCUACUUGAACCUCGAGAAGGAGGAUAAUUUGAGAUAAAUGGAACAUAGCUAAAGAGUAAGUUGUAUUUGCAUUCUCGUUUGAGAUUGAAUGUUCAAAUCCUAAAAAGACUUUAUAGAUUGUAAUUGAAAAAUUAAAAGAUUUUCAAUACAUUCAUUUUAAAUUGAUAAUUUGACAAUAUUAUAAUUAAACACUACUUUGGAUUUAUGAUUUUUUAAUACUUUUAUUGUAUCCAAAAUUUAAAAACGUUCAAUUGUACCGUACAAAUAAAAACAAUGUUUGUAUGCAUGUGCAACUUUACUUUUAUCAUAUCUUCUACUAUACAACUUCAUUUAUUUUUUCAAAAGAUCAAUAAUUAUACGUUUUCUUUUUAGUGAUUUUCUAUAACUAUAUUUAUAACCCAAACAAAAAGAAAAAAUAUAUUAAUUGUUAAGGUUACAAAAGUCAAAAUGAUCUAAAGAUUGAUGUUGGAGAGGUCGUAAUAAUGAUGAGCUAUGCUGACAAAAUGAAUUUUUUUAUGUUAGAUUUAGUUAAUUAUUCUAAUUCAUUCCAAAUUGAACAAGUAUAAAAAUUUCUUGUUAAAUCAUUUACUUUAAUUAUUGUAGAGAGCUUAAAUGUUAUUUGUGAUUGUAUUCCAUUUUGACAUGUUUUUUUAAUACACAAGAUUCAAACCACUCAUUUCAAUUAGAUUAUGACUUUUUUUUUAUAAUGAAAUUGAGAUUUAGUUAAAGGAAAAAGAAAACAAUCAUAUAUCUAAUUAAUAUAUAACAUCUUAAUUAAGUGCACUAAAGAGAUUUUAAUGUGAACAUGUAUCAAAUAUUAUACUUAAUUGCUUGAAGAGGAUAUUCAGAAAUUUUUAAUUACAAUAAUACUUUUGUUGCUUUUAGAGAGUGAGAUUAUCAAGUAGAACAAAGAAGGGAUUAUUUAUUGUAAAAUAUUGAUAUGAAAUGAGAAAUUUGAAUAAUUAGCCGUUAUGAUUCAAUAUUUUAUUGGAGUGUGAGUGAGAUGCACUCAUUAUUGAAUGAAAACACUAUAUAAAAUAAUUCAAUAAUGGUCCAAUAAUUAUUGGAUAUUAUUAUGCACACACAUAUCAAAACAAUUAUUGGAUAUGUGUACAAAUAUCACACUCAAUUCUUUAUUGCAUGAUUGAAAAAAUAUUCAAAGAAAUACUACACUUGUGUUUUGUGUCAGUGUGUAUAUAUAUAUGGUUUAGAUGGGUUGGUGGUUAGCUUACAUUUGUUUAAUUAUCAUACAUAUGGUUAAAUGGGUUGGCGGUUACUUAAAUUUAAUUAUUGUUUCGUUUUUGAUUCGAUGGUGAAUAGUUUUCGUUGAGGUUGAAGUAAAAGUGGUGAAUUUUGUUUUUGACAUUCGAAAUAUUGAGGCUUCUUGAUUUUUCGUUGGCUUCCUUCCAUCAUGUUUUUCACGACUACAAUAGUACGACUCGUUUGUUAGAAGGUUUGAGUUUCUUGAGGUUAAGUGCAUUGUGGGUGUAUCUUCAGAUAUUUAUGCAUGAGUUUCGUCUUUUUGCUUGAGUUAUUUCGCUAUUAUUAAUUAUUUAUAGCAAUGUAGUAAUGUAAUUUUCCUUUUGGUUUGUACGUAUAUAUAUUAAAAAAACUUAAAUUUGAUCGAAAAAAUUUAAUGUUGAGGCAUCCAACUGUACAGAGAGAAGGAAGAUGGGUAUAGGUGGAAUUCUUUGAGACUAUAAAGUGAGGGUAGUAGUGGAGUUUCUCAAAGUGCUCUAAUGGAUCUGAGGUAUUGAUGUGUUAUCGAUUGAGGCUUUGACUCUGCUUCAUGCCUUACAAGUGCCAUACGUGAAAGUUGAUUUUUUGGUAGAAUCGUACUCUCAAACUCUUGUGCAAACUAUUCAUUAUUCCAGUAGUUUAAAAGACCCCAUGGAGACAUUAUGGAGUGGAAGUUUCAAAUUUGUGCCUGGAUCUACCCAUGCGGUGGCAUAUUCUAUUGUGGGUUAGGCUAUAUCCAAUGAACAUGAGGAGGGGAUAUGGAAAAAAAAUUAUCUCCUAGUUGGCUUUCUUCUUAUUAUCUUAAGGACGAUGAUUCCAAGUUUAGCCCUUUGGGACAAUCAUUUUUUUUAAUCAUGUUUAUGUUAUUUUUUAUCACAAAAAUGCUUAUGAUUCUAUAUAUCAUCUUCUCAUUAUAAAAAAAAUUAUAAUUAUAAACGUGACAAUCACAUAGCAUUUUUUUUUUCUUUUAAGAAAGGUUGCAUAACACAUAUAUUAAGUCAAUGUGAAUUUUAACGUUUUAAGUUGGAUUUCAAUAAUGAUUGAGUCAAACAUUAAAAUAAAGCAUUGUUUGUUGCAAUUGAUACUCUAUUAAUUUAAAACCAAUUUUUUUCAAAAGUUGAUCAACUUGAAACCAUGUUUAAACAAAAAGAAAAAAAAAUUAUGAUUUAACAAAAUCAAAGACACUUAGCUCGGCCACUAAAGCAUAUCAACUUUCUUCAAAAAGUUUCAUAGGUAUUAUUCCUCCUAUUCACAUUUGAUGUAAUAUUAUAAAAAAGUAAAUAUGAAUUGACCUAGGGCCAAUAAGAGUAAUGCAAAAAUGGAAAAGGAAUCCAAAGAGAAUAAUAUGUGAUAAGUUGUUUACAAUUAAGAAUACUCGAUUGUGUGCAAGCUUACUCCAAAUACCAACAACUAUAAAAUAAUAGCAAUAAAGGAAAUCACGUAUUUCUUCGAAGUUGUAUCGAUUAAAAUUUCAGUGACAUGUUUGAUUGAAGGUGUAGAAGUUGGGGAAUUUACCUCCAACAAGUCUAUCCAAUCUUUGAACUAAUGCAUUUUUAAAUCUACAAUGGAUGUGGCCUCGCGACCAAAAACAUAUCAAUCCCAUUACUUAAGUUUGGGUUAAAUUUAAAUAUUCAUUUUCUAAAAGAUAAAAUGAGUAAUUGCAAUGAAUUGACAAUAACAUUUUAUAGAAAUGAUAAUGCAUUUAACAAAAUUUAUAGCAAUAGACUCUAUUGUUGAUAAACUCCUAUUAGUUAUCUCGUCUAUCACUCCUACUAAUAUUUUAGGCUUCAUUGUUAUAUUUGUCCCUGCCAAAUAAAAUUUAUCAUAUAUUUUCUGGUUUAGUCAAUUUUAGUUUAUAUAUUUUAACACAGUCAAUUUUAAUUCAGAAAUCUCAAGGCCCUCGAAACUAGAUUGUAGUGGCACUUGGUUUAAUAAGGAAAAGAUUUGUGCAAAGAAAUACAAUAUGUAGAUAUGUUUGUAUGAUUUAUAAUAAAAGUAGUAAAAUGUAAUAAACUUUUUGUUUGUUUGUUGAGAAAGACCAAUACAAUAUAGUAGUAAAAAUUAAAUUUAAGGUUAUGACAAAUAUCUCUUGAAUUUAGGAAGUUAAAUAAUACCCUUUUCAUUUAAAAAUAAGUUAAAAAAUAUAUUACCAUUAAAUAUUAUGUAUAAAAGAAUAUAAGAAUAUCUUUUAAUUUUGAAAAGUUUCAAUACAUCGUACACUCUAAUAAAAUUUUUAAAAAUUAUUUUUAUUUUGAUGAAACCGUCAUUACUUCGUUUAAAAAAUAUUAAACUAUUGUCAUUAAUAUAACGAUUAAUUUAUUUGAAGUUAUCGUGUGUUGAAAGAAAACUAAAUUUAGAAUAUACACAUUUUUUUUAUCUCUUAAUAUAGAUACGCUAAUUUUUCUUCAAUUGUUCGAUUCUUAUUCAUCAAUUUUCUUAGCACCUAAAUAUAAAAUAAAGCUUCAAGUAGAAUCUAACCCAAUGUCACAAAAUUUCAAAAUCAAAGUCUCACUAAGAUAAACAACCAAAUAAAAAAUGAUAUGAUGGAGGAGUAUCGUUUUGUAUCAACACGAGUCUCAAUGUAACACAAGAAAUAAAUUUAUUGCUAUGGUUAGCAACAAAAUGUAUCUAUUUACAAAAAUAUGAUCGAAAACUUAAAUGGCUUGUGAGAAUUGUUGGAUUUUAAUAUAUUUUUUAAAUAGUUUGGUAUUUUGUUAUUUUUAAAAAUCAACUUUAUAGUAAAAGGAAAAGGAAUUAUCGCACGUGUCGGCUGAGUAUUGAGUGGGAGCCUUACUCCCUCAGCCGCGGAUUCUCCACCUUCAGCAUCCAACCAAGAACAUACCACUCGAAGACUGACCGUUACUUCCAUUUCCAAUUCGAUCAUCGUUCAACAAAUUGAAUCAGAAUCCAGAAUCCUAUCUCCUUCGAUAUGUGGAGCUUCUCAACAUAUUCCCAUGGACUAUCUCUCCUCAUUCUCUUCGCUACUUCAAGUAAACCAUCUCUCUUUUCUCUCUAUAUCUUCCCCAGUUGAUUCCCGAUGUAAAUUUGAAUGAUAGCCAAUUCAAACUCAUUCUUUUAAAGCUGGGAAAUCUGUUCUCUAUCGAAUUAAGAAACCCAGUUUGUAAUGCGGCUUUGUUACUGUAAUUUCUUUCAGGUUUGCUCGGAUUUGCUUUUGGUGGAGAAGGGUUUUGUUCUGCACCAUCUGUUGUCGACUCGGAUGCUGAUUCGAAGGCUUUGUAUUACAAAGUGACCAAUCCUACUCUUUCACCUUCUCAUCUGCAGGGUCAGUAAGUUUUUGUGAUUAAUUAAAAUGGGAUUGUGUUAGAAUGGGUACUCAACUCAUCUUAUGUGGAGUCUGCUGUUGAAAUUUCCCAGUUUAUCGAAUACCCUCUGCCUUAUCUGAUGCAUAUUUUCAUUGAGAUUGUAAUCACUCUUUGAACGAGAUGGAAUUGAAUGUAACUAAGUAAAACAUUAUUUUCAGCGAAUUAAAAUGUAGAAACUGAUCUAAUAGACAUAUAGAGUCAGAUGAUAUGAUAUUAAACUUACCUUAGUUGGUGGUCCAAGAGGAGGUCUUGUGUUCAAGCUUCUUUAAUGUUUUUUACUCCUCCACUAACAUUGAUUGUCACUUGCUAGAAUCUUCUAUAUAUUUCAAGCCCAAACGUGAAAAUGAGUGUUUGAUGAUAUGCUUUUCAGUCAAUUGGUGAUAUAACCAAUAUCUUGCUGACAUUUUGACGAUGUCAUUUAGAGUUUAAGUUCACAAAGUCUAACAUUGUUAUUCUUGUUAAGUGAUCUUUGUUUCGAAGUAUGUAAAAGGCAAACAGAGCUUCUCUUUAGGAUUUGGUUCGAAUAAUUUACACUGUGACAAUAACAUGUUACUUUCUCGACUUCAUUUGAUUUUUCUGUCUAGACUUACCUGGCUUCACACGAAGUGUUUACAAAAGGGAUCAUGCCUUGAUAACCCCAGAAAGUCAAGUGUUCAGUCCUCUACCAGAGUGGUAAAUUUGGCUUCUUUCUCUCCUUUUGAGUUCUGUUCAUUCAUGUUAUUAUUCUUUGCAAUACUUGUAACUUGAUGUACUUUUCAGGACUAAUACACUGGGUGCAUAUUUAAUCACACCGGCACUUGGUUCACAUUUUGUGAUGUAUCUUGCUCAGAUGAAAGGUUUGGAUAAACCUUGCCAUAAAAUCUCCACACAUCAUGCAUUCAAAGACAUACAGGUUUUUUUAGUAAUAGUUUGUUUGCAUUUUCUUUUAUCUCAUGAGCUGCAGAGAAAUCUAAAUCAGGAUUGCCCCCUACUGAUGUUGAGAGGUGUACUUUUCAUUUUUCUUAUAUACUUAUAUAUCUUGACCCAUACCAGAGAAUUUGGUGAUUUCUGCUGAAUAAUUAUAUUACCCAAUUAACAUUUCAAAUUUUCAUCGAUUUUCUUCCUACUAGGUUUUUAUUUGUCAUUCAAGGAGCAGUGAAACUUACCAAUUCGUCUGGCAUUAGUGAAAAACUCACGGUGAGACAGAGUUGUCUAUUUUCUUGUUCAAACUUUCUUGUAAUAAGCAAUUGACAUGCCAAAAUUUCAUCUAUGCACUUUCUUCUAGCUUUUAUUUGCUCCUUUUGUAAGUUAAGAUUGAACAAAAGGUCUUUUAAGUCAUACUUCAUAGAUCAGGAUUACAUUUGAUCUUCUCAGGCUGCAAAUAAGUUCAUGUAUGUAAUGUCUGUGCUGAAAUACAAUACUAUUCCUUCGGCAUUCUUUAUUGUCCUGUUUGAAUGCUUGGCUGCAUGAAGGGUGAGGAUUUGUUGCUAGUGAAGAAGUUCACAGAUAACUGCAGCCCACCGAAUUCUAUUGUUUGAUAUGCAUUUUUAUAUAUGUCUUUACUUUCAUUAUCUGGUCUGUUUCUUAUCUUAAAAAAGGAAGAGGAAAUAUAAAUAAAUAAGUAUAUAUAUUUUUAAAAGAAUCAAUAUGUGAAAUGCAGGUCGAUUCAUUUGCUUAUCUACCUCCAAAUUUCGAUCAUUCCGUCAUGUCCGACUCUUCCGCUACACUUGUGGUAUUUGAGAGAAGGUUUGUUUCUGCAUGAUACUUAUAACGUACAUGAAUGGCUUUCACAUUUGUGCAAGUGCACCCUUAAUUUUCACCGAAGUUCAUGAUAAGUAUUUAUCAAUACUUGCAUCAUGUAUGUAUACGUACUUUCACCUGAAACCAAUGUUCUAAGAGAUGAUUAUGCAAUUGUCCACUGUAUCUAAUGUGACAUAUAUCAUUUACAUCAACAUGUGGACUUGAGAAAUACUUCACUAACAUUGUUAAUAAUUGGCUUAUAAACUGUUCACCUUUUGUGACUUGAGAUGUUCUCAUUGAAUCAGGUAUGCUUCUUUAGUGGAUCAUCACACUAAGCAGAUUGUUGGUUCAACAGACAAGCAACCCCUCCUUGAAACUCCUGGUGAGGUAAGCAACAAUUUAUCUCCUUGCUACUGAAAAGUUAAAAGGUAAUGCAGCUUUUUCUGUUUCCUUCUUUUUUGAAGAAACAACACAACUUUUCAUGGAUAAUAUGAAAACCUGAAUACAAGAACUCAGCAAAAAUUGAUAGAAAGUAUCUGAACUUAACGAAUUUAAUAAACUAUCCUUGGAACCAAUGGUAAUUCUAAACACUUUGGUUAGAUAUGUUCUUAUAUUGGCUUAGAUAUUUAAAACUUCUUCCUUGUUUCGUGUCAAAUUACAAGGUCUUUCAACUUAGGAAGCUCCUUCCCAUGUCCAUGCCUUAUGACUUCAACGUCCACGUAAGUUAUGAGUUGCAAUUGGAAGAUUAGUUCUUCUGCCUCGUUCACAAGCUUUCUCAUAGUUCAAUUUGCAUAUCUUGGCCCAGAUCAUGGAUUUCGAACCUGGAGAAUUUCUUAAUGUGAAGGUAAUAUCAUGAAAAUUCAAAUAUUUCAUUUAUUAGCUUUGAUUGGCUUGAAACUUUGUAUUAUGCUGUUUCAUGUCAUUCAACGGAAGAAUUUCUUCCUUGUAAAUUGAAUUCCAAUUAAAAGUCCUGGAUGAUGAGUGUUUUUGCCUUAACCAAACCGAAGUGAGCUGAGGCUGUCUCUUGAUCCUUAAUCCCUGUUAAAAGAAUACAUGGUUUUAAUAGUUAUUCUAGUUCAAGCCUCUUAAUUAUAUUUUGUUAAAUUGUUGGCAGGAGGUUCAUUAUAAUCAGCAUGGUUUGUUGCUCUUAGAGGGUCAGGGUAUUUAUCGUUUGGGCGACUACUGGUAAAUACUUCAUUAUUCUUACGUAACAUUUUGUUGAAAGCAUCUCAUAUAUACAAACUUGAAACUAGCUUGACAUUAUCUCGGGCAGAGCUGGAAGUUUUCUAUUUCAAAACCAAUUGACAAAGAGAAGAAUAACUCAUCUAUCUUAUAAGAAAGUUGAGCUCUCUUGGUUUUUCCAACGUGGGAUCCUCAACACGGUUUACCAUACUUGAUCGGAUCUAAUUUUUCUUUAUUGGACCAAAUAUCCAUUUGAGUUUAUAGACUCUAAUAAUAUAUUAGGUACCAUGAGUUUUCAUCUCAAAACUAUUCGACAAUAAGAAAAGACGUCUAUCAAUCUUAUAAUAAGCGUGAGAUCCUUCAACAUGAGAUCUUCAACGUUUUAGUAUUGAAAUUUUAGGGAAAUAAAUUAUAGAAAAAACUUAGAUUUAAGAGUUGACCAUCUUGCUAGACAUUAUCCCUUGAUCGUAAAGUUCACCAUACACCACAUGAACUUUAGAUAUAUCAAGUAGAAUAAAGGAGUUGUGAGAACAAUGGAUUUAAAAUAUAUGUACAGCUUGUAUCUUCUAAACUGCACUCUAGGCUUCUUCUUAUGAGAUAUGAGGAAAAUAAAAAGAACCACAUAAUUUGUUCCAGAUAUCCCUUGCUUAUUGUUGAUUCUGUUGUUGUAGGUACCCUGUUCAAUCUGGUGAUGCCAUUUGGAUGGCUCCCUUUGUUCCACAGUGGUUAGUUAAAUGCCUACAUGUUUCAUAUUUUCUCAUUUCAUCCACAUUACAAUAUGGUGCAAACUAUAGGGUUGGAGUUCAUAUGAUAUUUUUCAGGUAUGCUGCGCUUGGGAAAACACGAAGUCGCUAUCUGUUGUACAAGGAUAUGAACCGAAACCCACUUGAUCACAAGUAAUAUGUUGCAAUCUAUCAUAUUUCAUAUAUGGUAGAAUUUAUUUUAGAUGGUUCAAAUGAAAGUAGUGCAUGUCACCUUGUAGACCCCCUUGAUUUGUUUUUGGAAUAACAUAAUAUGUUGCAAAUUUACAAUCCACUUAGUUUGCUUUUUCUCAAACUUGGUAGUAAUUUAUAUUCAUUUUGACACUUAAUUUACCCCAUUUAAGUUUGGUCAAAUAUUCAUUUUGAUAAAAUAAGAUCUAACAAUAAUAGUCAAAGAAAAGUGCAUAUAACGUUUUUUUCGCACCUUGACUAAUCUCACUCAUUCACUUGACCCUACGACAGUUAGACGCCAAAGAAAAUUAUUGAGACUGUUUUUUUUAUCACUAAGCCAACCUAAGAUGGUUAUGGAUUAAAUCCACAUUUUAGCCUAUAAAUUUGAAAUUCGUGUCUAUUUAUUUAAAACAUCAUAAUCCAUCUAUGCUAAACCGUUAGCGUAUCGAGAUUGUGAUAUAUUGUUACAUUUGUAAGUAUUUUCAUUAGUUUUAUCCUUUUAAAUAAGUUUUCUAAAUUUUAAGAAUUCUAAAGACUCCUUAGAUACGAAAUUAAAGAAGUUUAAAGAUUUAAUUAGACAUAAAUCUCAAAGUUUGGAAGCGGUAUUCGUAACUAUUAACCUUAAAAAAAGUGCAAGUUUACCCUUUUUAGUUUCAUUUAUUAAUUUUAUAAUAUUAAAUAGGAUGAUAAUAAAAAAAAAAUAAAGAAGAUUAAGAAUAAAAAAAAUUGACAUUAGAAUAAAUCGGUAAUUUGAGAAAACUGAAAGGGAAUGAAAAACUAACAAAAUGAAAGUAGGCACUAUACUUGUGUUAGAAACUAAUUUUAGAAUAAAUGUUUUUGGUCAAAGCCUAUUCAUAAGCAAUAUUAGUUAAAAGAUAAAAUAAAAAUAGGAGAAAAUCAUGUCAAAAAUCCAAAGAGGAAAAAGAAAGGUUAUAUAUUACAGUUUUCAGGAUAUUGUGCAUUAACAAUCCGAAAGAUGAAGGGCAGAAAAAUCAAUUUCCGGAUACACAUUUUAUUAUUACCUCAACAGAAAACAUAUGGGAGUUGCAAACGGUUCAUAUAUUAUAUAUAUAUAUUAUAGCUAAGAACACAUUAUGAAAUAUCCUAAGCAACAAACCCAUUUUCUACAAGCAGCCCAUUUAAGCCAGCCUUAGAUCGCAUCCUUUUGCUUCUCAGCCUUUGGGAUAUCGCAAAGGCCAACUCCAGCGACUGCGAAGCAUUCAGUCUCGGAUCGCAGUGAGUAUGGUAGCGAGAAUUCAGGUCGUCGAAGGUCACUUCCUUCGACCCUCCGACGCAUUCUGUUACAUUCUGUCCAGUCAUUUCUAGAUGUACUCCUCCAGGAUGACUGCCUUCUUGUUCAUGAACAUCGAAGAAAGCUCUCAAUUCGGCCUAAGUAAAACAAAAUAGCAACAUCAACAUUAAUGUAUGGAGUAAAAGUGCAAUGGAUGCUUGUAGGUAGAAAAGUUGGUUUGUACCCUUAUUGAAUCAAAUGAACGAGUCUUCAGACCACAUGGAGCCUUUAUUGUGUUGCCGUGCAUUGGAUCGCUCACCCAUGUGACGAUAAGCCCCGCUUGGCGUACUGCUCUAAUGAGAUGAGGUAACUUGACUCGCAUAUUAUCUGCUCCCAUUCGGGUGAUGAUUGUAAGACGUCCGGGUCUGUUGCGGGGAUUCAAAAUCUCACAUAACUGAACAAGCUCCGAAGGAUCCAUUUUGUCACUUACCUGCAUAGCAUAAAAAGCCAGGGAUUAAUCAAGCACAGAUAUAAUGUUGUUGCAAUGUUCUCUUUUCUUUCACUACGUCUCCAAAAUAUACCAUCAAGCAAAAGGCUAUUAACGAAUUUGGCCAGAUAUAAAAGGACCAUGUGAUAUUCAGAGAGAAAAAGGUCUUGGUUUGAGCCUCCAAAUAUAAAGUUCAAUACAUUAAAAUCUUUGAUGUCUCCUGGAGCAAGUAUUUUGGGUAUGAGAAGUCUCCACGAGAAUAGGUGGUAUGGACAAUGCCACAGAGAUAUACAUAAAUUAAUGAAACUAGUCAAAACUUGCAUAAUAAUUACUUAUAAACGUUGAAACAAAAGAAAUUUAAUCAAAACUUAAAAAAGAAAAUCCUCACAAGCAACGGGGACCAUGCUAACUAACACAUUCAAGCAAAAUACCUCCAAGUACAGAUGCACUCAACUUUUUUUUCUCUUUAUUAUUGUUUUUUCCUUUCUAAUUCAAAGAAGCUGGACUUUCAUUGAGAGACUAAAAUAAUACAAAAAUGGAGCACCCACAAACAGCCCAACACGAGAAAGCCAACCUGUUACUGCAUGCCAAGUGACGGCAUAUUAUUGGCGAUUGAACAUUGGUUAGUGUUUUAAUGAAAGUCGAUGACAUCAAUGAAUCUAAAUCCCAGUAUAACGGCAGUAGUUUGGUACCUUAAUUCCAAGAGGAUUAGACACGCCUCGCAGAAAUUCAACAUGUGCACCAUCCAACUGUCGAGUCCUCUCACCAACCCAAAGCAUGUGAGCAGAACAAUCAUAAUAGAGGCCUGUCGUUGAGUCCUCCCUCGUCAAGGCUUGCUCAUAUGGUAAGUGAAGGCACUCGUGAGAAGUCCAGAAAUCAAUUGUGUUCAUUAUAGGAUGGUCCGUAGUGAUUCCAGCAGCUGCCAUAAAUCCCAGCGCUUCAUCUACCCUCUGAGCAAGUUCUUUAUACCUGCACGCAAUAAAUAAUAUUCACUCAAGUACUUAGACCUUCAUUCAAUAAGAUAAUCUGCAUUAUGGGAUGGUCCAUGGUCUCACAUAUAGACGUGCUCAUGGUACAUCGGUCACUAAUUCUGACUAGGCUUUGUCUGACCAAAAGCCAAGUCCAAAAGAUAGUAAAUUAUGUGAAAUUCCUGAGCUUCUGAACUCAGAACCUUAAAUAGUAUCUCAAAACCUUGUAAGUGCUUACCACUAAACUAAAAAGCCAACAAAUGGGAUACCCUGAAUAUGAUGGAGGAUGUGCAGGCAACAAAAAUAUGCCUCUUUUAAAUUAUAAGUAAAUUACUUAAUUAUUUCACAGCCAAAGAGAAUGUUCACCAUAGAGCAAUGUGUCACGGACGGCAACAAAGGUUCUGACACAGUGUCAGUUAAAUGUUAUUCAUUACAAUGUCAGUUAAAUGUUAUUCAUUUAGACACUUAACAAUUAUGAAAAUAUAAAAAUUCAAACUAGGAAAAGCUUUUCCUCUUUUUAAGAAGAUGGAAAAGUUGAGUUCAUAUUGAAGAGCAUAAAUUUUAGAACAUACAACCCAUAGUCUAUUGUUCAAGUAAGUCUGCUAUUAAAGAUCACAAAUUGUAAGAUGUUAAAGAUAAUAAUUCGAAAUGAGUACCUGUCUCCUUGCUCACUGUGUUGAACGAAGUCAAGAUUCCAUUGAGAAACUCUCUGCAUUGCAGCAUAUCCUCCAGUGGCAAACGCUCUAAGAAGGUUCAAUGUGCCUACGGAUUGGAGAUAUGCUCUAACCAAUCUUUGAGGAUCUGGGGUUCGAGAUUUCUCAUCAAAAGCAUCUGCAUUGAUGUUAUCUCCACGAUAACUCGGUAGCUCUACACCAUCUUUAACCUCAAACGGGUCUGACCUGGGUUUAGCAAAUUGUCCUGCCAUUCUUCCUACCUGUCAACGCAGUUGGUUGACCAAAUUUACAUCAAAUAAAUUCCAGACUAAAACAUUUCUCAUCUUUUACAUUACAACGCAAAGCUUAACGCCACGGUUUCAAAAGAAAAUGUUCCAAAUUCUAAAAACAGAGCUGUAUCCUAUGUUUUCGAGGCUUUUGAAUACGUGCUUGAUAUCAAAUUUAAUAUAAAACAUGUUGAUCGUUAUUAGUUUCUUAGAAUCUAAACCGAGAUACCAACUAGACAUUCCCAGAAUUCAUUUAACAAAUGAAUCUGAAAACAAUGGACUAAAUUUGGAUAAAAAGCAGAACAGAUCUAGAUGGAGCCUUUGCAAUCUCUUCCGGAAGAGAGUACGAAGAGAGAGGAGACUGAAAAAGACAUGAUAACGACAAACGCAGGGAAGAAAAAACAUGGACAGAGAUAAAAUAAUGCAAAUCCCAAUAAAUCAUGAACAGUGUAGUGAAAUAUGAAUUAACAAAUGAUGUGGGGCAGUGACUUUGGUCUGCACCCAUAUCCAAAAACAAACACUUUUGACCAGAAAACAUAAAAAAUUUCCAACUGACAGAAGAGAGAGAAGAAAAGUCCUAAAAGAAUCAGAGAUAAUCCUAUAAAAUUCAAGCAACAACACUCCAUCAUCCAAAACUCAUGGGGAAACACAACAAUUGAAAAGAAACAAACCUUUAUAAUAGGCAUUUGAGCGCCAUAUGUAAGAACAAUACCCAUCUGCAGCAAAACCCUGAACGUAUCCCUAAUAUUGUUCCCGUUAAACUCCUUGAAGCUCUCAGCGCAAUCCCCACCUUGAAGCAGAAAUGCUUCGCCAACGGCAGCCUUCGCGAGGCUCUCCUCGAGCUUGCGAGCCUCGCCGGCGAAGACGAUAGGAGGGAAGGACUCGAGAACGCGAAGAACGGAGUCGAGCUCGUUUGGAUCAGGAUAUUGAGGGAGUUGAAGGGCCUUCUUGGAUUUCCAAGAUUCAGGCGUCCAAUUGGAGGAUCCAGAAAUGAAAUGGGUGGAAGAAGAAGAAGAAACGGCGGAGGGAAUGGUCCGGCAGAAAUUGGCGGCAUUAGGGGUGAAGAAAUGGGGUUUGAAGAGGAAACAUUUGGCGAUGGAAGUUGUAGGAGCGGCGGAAGAAGAAGGAGGAAGGAGAUUGGCAAUGAUCAUGACGGUGAUUCGCCGGGAAAUUGUGAAGUGGGUUUCUUUAGUGGCUGGAUAAUGAGCUUACUACUACCCUAUGAACGCAAAUAUGUUUGGUUCAAAUACCCUCAUUUCCCAUUAAAUAAAAAUAUAUACAUUUUUUUCUACAAAAAAUAAAAAUUUGCUAUACUUUUUCAUUAUUUUAAACGAUUUAUCAUUUUUAAAAUUUUAUUUUGUUAAAAUAUACAUCUCAAACUUGGUCAAAAAUUGAAAUUCACUUAAGAAAUUGACCUUGUGUUAAAGUAUAGUCACUUAGUGUAAGAAGGAUAUGAUACACAAACAAAUAUUGGUUUCUUCCACUCCCUUCUUGCUCCAUAUUUUUGUUUAAACACAAAUACAACUUUUGUUAUCCUUCCAUUUUAUUCUUUGUUUAUCGGCUUCUUUCGUUGUUUUAUACAUUUAUAUACUUUUAAAGAGUUAAUUUUAGUGAAGGUUAUUUUCAAAUUCAAUUUGUAUACAUAUUUCUAUAAAGUUUUAUUUUUCAUUUUUUUCUAGAUAUUUUGUUAAAAGGAAUACUCAAUGGUCAAAAGGUGGAUAUGUAUGAGAAACGUGUUAUUUCCAAUAAAAAAUAUUUGAUUGCCAUUAAAGUUACAAUUCUGCUCAAUUUUCAAUUCUGUGUUUUAUUGAAAAAAAAUGGUGUAUUUUGUUUCAUAAAUUUUGUUUCCUCAAUUCUUAAAAUUGUAUGUUUUUGUACCAACUUCAACAAAAAGCUUGUUUUGAUCCCUAUAUGUAUAUAUUAAAAUGAUAUAUUUUAUCGUAUUAAUUAGGAUUUUGUCGGUUCUUUAAUGAAAUGAUGAUGUGAUUGAGUUUUGAAUUCAUCAUAUUAAUUAGAUUUAUAAAUAACAAAGAAAUCUCAUUAACUUGAAUCAAAUAAAUCUGUAGGCCGGAAAGCUACGUGUAUGGACUCAAAGAAACCACUUAUUUGCAUGUAAUGGUAGGUUUUCUCUCCAUUUGUCACUUACUUUCCAUUUCUUUUCACUUUGCGUGUAGACGUUGAUAACAAAAUAUUAAAGAAAUCCUCUACAAGACUUUCUUCUUCUUCUUUUACUGUAUUUUGUUCUUUGAGCUUCUUUAGAAGAUGGUGAGAUGAAGAGAGGAAGAGGUAGAAGAUGAACACACCAUGUUUUAAAGUGGUUCGACAGGUACCUAUAUCCAUUGUGCUCGAGAGCAAGUUAUUAUUUUAGUUCAAUGAUGAAUUUCAAAAUGAUACAUGUAUUUAUAGUAUUCCCUAAGACUUUAGUUAAAACUCUAGUUAAAACUAACAAAUUUAGCUACAUUUCUUUUACAAUAAGUGAUAAACGGUUUUAGUAAAGUGUCUUCCACAAAACCAAAAUUAAAAUUUAAUUAUGUUUUUUCUUUCUCUUCAAAACUCAAAUAUUUUGCUUCCCCUCCUUGGCAACCUUACUCAUUAAUUUUAAAAAAUUAGAAUCUUGAAACAAAUCAGAAGAACACUGAGUAAAAUAAUAAUAAUAAUAAUAAAAAUAGGCAUAUUGAAUUAAACUAGAAAAACAAAAUAAUUACAACGCAUUAUAAAAUAAACUCUACAAUAUUGUAAGUAAAUAUUUCUAAUAUGACUCACAAAGCCCCCCAAAAAGAAGAAAGAAUUGGGCGGAAGAGAAAAAAAAAUACUUCAAUUAAUCACAAAAUAUUUCAAACUUGAGGUACUAAAAAAUUUAUAUGUGGAUGAAAUUGCAUUUAGCAUAUGAGUUGAGAAAAAGAAAUAGAAUGUCAAUAUGCCAAAAUAGUGACUAUCAAAAUCUCAAACGUAAAGUAAUUUAAUUCAUUUGAUUAGCCCUUAACUAUUUCUAUCACAAUACAUAAUAGAUAAUUAACCUAUCGUAAAGUAUUGUUACGACAAGAGUGUUCCAAAUUUAAAAAUAUAAAGAUUAAAUUGAGAUUAAAAUUGUUUUUUUUUUAACAAAUACUAAUCAUUCAAAUAAAUCUCUAUACUUUGGAGAAGGUGGGAACUUGGUCCUUUAUAAUUUAGUAAAAUAAACUAAAGUAUUUAAAUACUAUAGCAAAUCUAUCAAAAUUGAUAAACUUUUAUCAUUGUUAGACAAUAUCACUUAUAGAAAUAUAUUAGUGCCCAUCCAUAUCUAUUAUAGAUAGAAUCUAAAAUUUUAUUAGAUGUUAGUAAAUAUUUUGUUAAAUUUACUAUAUUUGCUAAUAAUUGAAUAAGUUGUUUAAUAAUGAAGGAGAGAAACAUGUAGUAUAUUAGUAUUAAUAAAGAGGGUGAAGGGUUUUAGGCGACGACUAGCAUUGAAGGAGAACAUGCAAAGGAGAGUUCUUCGAAAUAGAUUUUAUUAGUAGUCUGUCAUUUAGGAUACAACGUGUCUUAUUAUUUGUGAUAGAAAAGAAAGGUGAUGUUUUUGGUAUUAAAUUAGUUUAAUUGCUUUAUUUUGUUUGACAUGUGAUGAGGGAAGAAGUUUGUUUUAGGAGAAGUUAUUGAAGAGUCAUCAAGCAAUUUACAACAAAACACACACAAGUGUCAUCCAUGCGAGUAAGAGAAUUCACUUAUGAGUGACAAAUUCUUUAAUUACUUGGGGUGAACAAUAUCACACUCUCACUCUACUAUUUUCCCACAUACAAUACAAGUUGUAGCACUUACACUUGUUUAGUAAAGGAAAAGGCAAUAGUAAAGUAGUUUGUUUAUGUUGAUGAUUCUAUACGUUUUUCUAGAUUGCAUAUUGCAAUGAAGCUUAUUGAAAAAGGUAGGAUGAACUUCUCACUUAUAGAUACUUUGUAAGAAGUAUUAGGGAGGGAUAUGUGUCACAUGGUAGCUUCAAAAUCACAAAGGAAAGACCCAUACAAAUAGUAGCUCGAAUCUUUUGAGAAAAGAGGUAAGAGUUGAGAAUUGAUAGAAAAAAUUGUUAUGGUUAAAGAAAAAUGGCAUAAUACAGAAUGAUAAUAGUUCUCUCAUAGGCUUUGUUAAAGCUAACAAACUUGUGUUUUUUCUUUAAUCAUAAGGGAUUGUUAUAUAUAUAUAUAUUUAUUUAUUUUAUAGGAUGAACUAAUCACCUUUUAGGUGAGGAUAAGUAUGGAACAAACUCAAACUAAUAAAUGCUCCUUUAAUCAAUAUAUUUUAGAGGUACUCUUAUUAUUUAAUAUUGAUGUUUCUAAGUUUGGGAAAGAAAAAAAAAUGGGGGCAGUAGCAAAAUGAGGAGGUUAAGUAUAUGUGAAUGAAAAAACUGCUUUCAUUGAGAGUCGAACUCAAGACCUCCCGCUUACUAAACGGGUGCUCUAACCAACUGAGCUAUGAAAGCUUUUUGUUGGAAUAAUUAAAAAUAUCAUUUAGUUUUAAAAUAUUUUAAAAUAUUUUCCCCUCAGAAUUCGUUUAUCAGAAAUCAGAUUUUCAAUAAUUCUGAUGCUCUGAAUAGAAAACAAUAAACCUAAAUUCUCUAUUUAAAACAUCAUUUUCCAACUUUUACUAUGGUUCAGCAAUGUUAUAACUAUUUGUUAUGACAUAACCUUUUCUGAAUAAUUUGAUCUUCAUCCUAUUAAAAAGAUUCGGUAAAUAGGAAUAAUAUUCGCUUAAAAAAAACUAAACAUAAGUUCUUGCUUGGCAAAAAGACCUGCUAAAAAAAGCACCCAAACCAAAACGAACAUUUGGAUAAAAAGAAUAGGUAAAUCACUCUCAAUGUUGAUACAUGAAAGAAAGAAGAACUCCUUUCUUUUUUUAAAAAAUAAUAAUCGUGGGCAGAAGAGAACUUCAAACUAAUAUACGUACCUUGAUAAUUCUAGAAUGAAGUCCAAAUUAAAUUAAAUUUUUUAAUUUCAAACAGGAUGUUCAUUAGAAGAAAACAAGUAAAAAUUCAAGAACAACCACCACAACCUUAUUUGAAUUGAAUAUCACUUGAUACAAACCUAGAUGAUCUCAACCAAAUCUUCAUCAAACCUCAUAAUUGCUCCAGUUUCAUUCAAUACAAGGUCAAUAAAAGCAAGAAUAAAGUACAAAAAGACAGACAAGGGUAUUCAUUUCUUGAACUUUUCAUUUAGAGCUGAAAUCCAAGACCUGGAAAACAUCCCAUUCUAAUGGAAGUUUGAGAAAAAGACAUUUAUGGACCUUUGUUUCUGAGAAACAGAUAAUAUGGACAAGGACAACUAAAGAAACUAUGGACCUAUUUAUUUGUCUGUCUAGAAUCCAAAAAUGGUACAAGAGGUCCUUCAAACAAGUUGAAAGUUAGGCCAUGAAAAUAGAGACUCGCAAAAUUCACUCUGCUUUCGUAUCGUCAGGUUCCACAUUGUAUUCUUCAUCAUCGUCGUCGUCUUCAUCUUCAUCUUCAUCUUCAUCGUCAUCACCCAUCAAGUUAAGUCGACUUAAUUUUUCAAGUCCAUUCUUGUCAUCAUCUUCGCCAAGGAAUUCCAGGCCAAAUUGUCUGUCACGGUGCUUCACUAAAAUCCAACGCAACAACCGAUCCUCCUUGUUUAAGUAAAACAACUCCUUGUUCAUGUUGGGAGUAGCCAUCAUCGUCAUCUGCAUAAGUUGGCCCUUUACCAUAAAAGAAAGAGUAAUAAUAUCAUUAAUUGAUUUAGAUACACAUACAAACAAAUAGAUCAAUCUUUUGUAGGAACCACAACAAAGUCAGGAAACUUCACAAUACAUCUGAUGAACAAGUUUUAGAUAAGAACAAUGCAGGGGCGUUUGGAGCAAGAAGUUAGCCAUUAUAGUCCUAAGUUAUUAUAGUUGGAUUAUAAUUUAUAAUAAUUUGUGUUUGAAGUGUAGAUUAUUUAAGUUUAGGUUACAAUAUUAUGUGUUUGAAGUGUAAACUAUUUUAGUUUGAGAAGAAAAUAGUAAACAUUGUAACAAAAAUUAAAAAAUGAUAAAUGCAAAAUAGUAAACUAUAACAAAUAAUAAAUAUUGUAGCAAAUGAGGAUUUUGAAAUAGUGUUGACUGCGACUGGAAGUACAAAAUAGUACUUAUUGUAGUAGUGGUAGUUAUUAUAGUCUUAGGAUAGUCUUGUUUCAAAUGCCCCUUAAGAUAUUGUGUACAUGAUGAUGCACAUCAGGGUUUGAAUAGAGACUUCCACUUUUGAUAGUUCCAACUGUGUAUAAAUGAAAGGUCUAGUAGCCCAAGCGAUAUUCAGCCAGGCUCUUUAGUAAAAAUAUACAAGGAUCAUGAUUAUGCCUCCGAAUAAAGUGGCUAGGUGAUCGGGGUUUCAAGAUCAGAAGCUUCAUUAGAAGUGGCACUUCCAACGUGAGAGAGCCUCCAAGGCAUAAAAUCAGUGACAAGAUUGGGCAUGUAUUAGGUACUAGAUAUGUAGUUUGUGUUGGUUAAGUGGUAUGAGAGUAAUUAGAUAGAUAGGAAGUUACUGGUAGCUAUUGUACAAGGGUGGUUACUACUUGUUAUAAAUAGAGGGAAGGUAAGUGAGUGAGGAGGAGGUUAUUCUGUGGAGUGAUCUAGGGUGGGUGAGAGUAAUCAAGAGGGAGGGUUCCAAGUGCCUUAUAACUGUGUUUAUCUUGUACUUCCUUAUAAUUGCAUUAUAAUAAAUUCAGAUCUUGUUCUUGUUAGGAAGUAUAUGGCGUGCUCAACUGGUUGGUUAAAUUAAGCAAAAGAAGUUACGAAUGGUGGUACACGGCCUUGGAUCUUUAAAUUCAGUUGUGAGAAAAUUUUAGUACUUCUCAAAGAUAACUGUUGGUAGCAACAGUAAUACUUUGUAUCAAGAUGAUAUCUGCGUUACAAAUUACAAAAUGGGUAGUUCCAGGUCUUGUGUCUGGUUCAGCCAUGUAAUAAUAAUUAAAACUACUAACUGAACGUUCACUUUAGCAGGAAUUUAAUGGAUAAGGAAAUGAAUGAGCAACUUUUGAUGAUGGGCAGACGAAUUAUGAUUGCCGGUCAAAAUUCCCUGUCCUGGCUUAUGUGAACCUCUGGUUGUUCUUUAUGACGUUUUAAAAUCACCUAAGUUCCAUCUAAAUCCUAAGCCCCCCAAAAUAGGACUUUACCAAAGACAAUCAAAUUUUUUUAAUGUACAAGUACCCUUAUAUAUCAAGGCUAUAGAUAAUUGGCGUUCCCUUCAAUUAUAGACAGUUUGUUCAAAUCCAAUCCAGUUCCAAACAGAACCCACCAAACUUUAAAACCUGAACCCCAUACCAAUUAAGAGGUUUGAACCAGGGACAUGUUGGAUUGGCUAAAUUUGAGCUAAACAAAUGAACCAACAAACUAGAAACCCUCUUGCUGAACAUGGGUAGCCUUGUGACUCAAUAACUAAAUGAAGAAAUGUGUGCUAGAAUAACUAAUAAAAAAAAUUCAAUUGUUCAAGAGGACCUAUUAGGGUCACUGAUUCAAUGAAAAGCAUCAGAUAGAGUUGACAUACAGAAACCUCAAACUGUAGAGACACAUCUAUUUCUUCGCAAGAAAGAAAAUCACAAAUUCACAUAACAUUACUUCUAGGAUGUCAAGGACAAUACCAACUGGGGAUAAAAUAAAACACAAAAAAAUAUAAUGCUGACAGAGAAAGUCAUUCGUGGCAGAUGCAGUACUCCUUUUAUUUCAAAGUAGGCAAAGGUCAUUCAGUGUCUCCAUAAAGGAAUGAAAUAGUCAUUCACCCUCCUUGCUUUACUUGGUGAUUUUACUCUCUAGGUGGAAAUGACUAAUAGGCAGAUUUGGAGUCCUAGUCUUUCAUUUGAGUUCUCUUGUCAGUCGUUUUUUAGUGUCUAGUGAGGAUCUGGAUCAUCUUAUUCAGUCUUGUCAGUUAGCUAAAUUGUUGUGAAGUGGUUUUUUUAGGCUCUCUCUUAGUUUGGCAUAGUCCAGGAGAUUAAGAGAUUUUCUUGAGUUGUGUGUGUUCCACUCACCUUUUCGAUGUAGGGUAGCAAGCUUUGUUGUGCUUGUUUUUGUGCUAUUUUGGGGGGUUCGGAGUGAAAGAAACAAUAGAAUUCUUAGAGCGAUUGAAAAUUUUGUAAGGGAGUUUGGUUUGCUAAUAAAUUUCAUAGUUAUCUUUGGGUAUUUGUUUGUAAAGGCUUCUGUAAUUUUCCUUUAGGCCUUAGGCAUAUUUUGAUUGACUAAAGCUCUUUUCUAGAUUAAUUGAGCUCCCCUUCAGCUGCUCCUUGUGAAUUCCCCUUGUAUUCUUUCAUUUAUUCUCAAUGAAACCUGGUUUUUCCCCCUCCCACAAAAAGAAAAGAGACAUUAAUUCCAACGUCAAAGCCUAACUUAUUAAAAAUUGGCAAGUAAUAUGGCAAAAUGCAUCCACAAUUUAAUCAUUUGUAGUUCUUUUGUAUAAAGGUUUACUGAGAUCUUCGAUGCAACCAAAAUCAAAAGAAACUAUUAUUCCUUCCAUCUUAAUCAAACCCAUUAAGUCAACUAAAGUCACUUUUAUCACCUUUGAAACAAUACAAUUAAAAACGUAUAUGUUGCUUAAAUGCAUUUAUGCUUAAUUGACACAAUAUGAAUGAGAUUUAAAGAUACAAUCAAGCUACAAGAACAACAAAAAGGAAGAUGAUAAAAUUCAACAGUAAAAUAACAGAUUUUCUUUUUAUUGAUAAGAACACCUUUCAUUGAGAAAAAAUGAAAGAACAGAUUUCAAAGUCACCUGAUAAUAUCUUCCAUCAAGCUUCUUAAUACCAUAACCCAAUUGGACAACACCAAAUGACUUAAUGUCACAGACAACCCCAUUUCUCCUGAACACAUGCUUGCCCACUCUAGCAACCAAGUCCAACAAAGCCUCCUUCUUUACAUGGGGUUUCAUCAAAAACAUAACAUCGUAAAGAGGCAUCUUAAUCUUCUGUUCUUUAGAACUAAAAUUCCUAUUUCGAACUUCUGAGAGAAAUGGUAGCCUGCGCCGUUUCCUUCACUUAACUCCUGGAUUUGAAACCAUUUCAAGCGUUUAGAUAGAAAAAUAAAUAAAAUAGAACAACGAAAUCGAAAUCAGUUGUGAUUUAUAUUCUUCUUCUCUACCUUAAAAAGGUUUGGUGUCGGAUAAUCCGCUAAGAUUCAAAACUUCCAAAAAAUAAAAAACGUUUCUAACUUUACCCUACAGGAGAUCAUAUUUUAAAAAAUUGAAUUCAAGCUGUCCCUAUGCCAGUUCAUAUGCAAUACGCACAGAUAGUGUCUUUCUAUGUUCAAGCAAGCUCCAAAGUUUCUUAUUUCCUUUGCUAUUUAAUUUAAAACGGAUAGCAACAAUUUAAAUCUUUUCAAUUUAGAUUCUCGAUUCCAGCCCAUUUUUAUUUUCAUUUUCGAAGGUGAACAGAAUAACUGAACAUAAGUAAACAAACAAAAUAUAAAGGAAAAAUAAGUAAAUAAACAACAAAUAAAAACCUUGGGAUCUAAAAAAUGAGCAGCAGUAGGCGUGAGGGGCGGUACGAUCUCACCAACAGCGGGGCUGAACCAGUGUUUCUAUUUCUGAGAUGAACAACAGAGAUAAGUAGCUCUGGUUGCUUGGGGAAGGGAGAGAGUGUGAGAGGGAGGGAGAGGCGGCGAGUUCGUCCAAAAGAUGAGAAUCUGGCAGAUAAGAGUGCAGCGUACGGCGGCCGCCGCUGAUACUGUGGCAGGCACGAGCGGCGUGCGUCGGAGCGGGAUGCAGUGGCUGUUAAUGAGAGGGUGUGUGGGUGAACGUCAAAUAGGGUUUAUGAAAAAUAGUUUUCUCAUUUCAAUCCCCCCAACAACUUGUAUGGUAAAAUGCAUGUAAAAGUAAAAUUACACACGAUUUGACAAAACUAACCUCUUAUAUAUAUAUACAUUUCAAAGGUAGCUUAGUAAUUUUGUUUUUUCUUCGAUUCAAUCUGAAAUUAAUUAAGAGAUUCUUCCUAAAAUUUAAAAACUCUCAACAAAAUUUCUUUGUCUCUCGAUCGAGUGUCAUAGUGUGUUUUUUAUUAAAAAUUUGAAGUUUACCAAAUACUUAUUGGAUCAAAGUUGUUUUGAGAUAGCCUCAAGCUAAUUGGGAACAUAAAGCAUUAUGUAAUAUGAUCUCUUUUCUACUCAAUGUAUCAACAAUUUUGUUCUCUUUCCUGACUUGAUGCUUGAUAAGGUAGGAUAUCGAGCAUGCAUGUUGAUACUUUUAUGUGCUUGUAAAUACUUGAUGAAAAAGUGGUUUGUGAGGAGAAUGAAAUCCUUGAUAAAACAUAAUGCUCCAAUUGCUUUAGAACCCUAAGAAUAAAACUUUGUUCAUAUGUACUUUAUGUUGUCUAGAAGAGCUUAGUUUCUCACUAAAGAACUCCACUAGAUGUUCUCGAGAUAAAAUUGUUGAGCUCCACAAGCAUCUAUUGACCCAAUUCAAUUCAGCUUCAAUAAGUAUCUAUGCUACUUCAAAGGGAUUGUUGAAUACGGGUAGUUUUAGGACUGGUUGACGGUUAAGCUUUAUCUUAAUCCUUUCAAAGCCUUUAUGUUGAUUCUUUCUCAUUAAAACUCUUUCUUUAGGCAGUCACUUAUUGGGUUGUUAUAAAGCUGAAAUUUCUAAUAAAUGUUGGGUAGAGUGAUGUCAAUCCCAUAAUUAAAGUGUUUUCUCUAUGGAAUAAUUUUUGUGCUUACCAUUUUCUUCUUAUUUCUAGUUGCACAACCAGGAUCAGUACCUAUGAGGGUUUUUUUUACGAACAUUAAACAAGGUAAUUUUUUAUAGAAGUUUUAUCUCUCAAAUUUUAUGCUUUUCUUUGUAUUCUUAUGUUAGAAUGCAUAUCUAGAACUUUCAAUCUAGUUUGAUCAAUAAAAUUAUGGAGAGUUCAAAAUCUUGAAGUUAGAAACAAGUUCUCCUUUCUUCUCGAUCUUUUAUCAAUCUUUUCCAAGCAAAAAAUUGUUUAGCUUUCUUGGGGUUGUUUAGCUAUUUAUUUAAUCGAUAUUCUUAUUAGUGUUGUGGGAGUUCACUUGAUUGAGGUAGUUCUGCUUAUAAAAGACAAUACAAUCUGACUAUCCAAUUAAAUCUAUAUUUUAAGAACUGGGUUGGAAAUACCAGGUUGUCAAUUCAACCAACUCGAAAUAUAUAAAAUGGAUUAUCAAUUGAACCGGUUUAACCUCUGGAUGAACUUUUGCAUAAGUUUAUUUUGGUAGUUUCACGGAAAGGAAAGAUUAUAAAAACUUAAAAUUUAAAAAAUGGGGACAAAUUUCAUUUCCUCAAAUUUUGGUUAAUUCCAAAUGAUAAUUAUCUUAAAGUGUUAAACCCCUCUUCUUCUCCCCUAUAAUUUGUCCUUUGACAAUUACCCACGAUUUAUGCCCUUUCUCAAUCGCCGUCGUCCACCUACGCUCACCCAGCCUCUUACUCACUCUCAGUAGCCACCCCCCUUGGUCGACGGAGUCCAUAAAUCGGCUCUCGCUCUUUCUCUCUCUCCAUCGCUCACCAUCUGUCUCUCUGGUCCUCCAUCACCCUGCGGCACUCCAUCUUUUUCUUGCCGGUAAUAUGCCAUCGACUUUUUAUUUUCCAUUCUUUUGUUUGAUUUCGUAAUCUAGGAAUUGCAUUAUAUUUGUAAAUAUUCGGGAUUGUGUGGAGCUAAAAAUAUCACAUUCCUUCCUUCUUCGAUUGUUUUUUUCCUUCCUCCCAGCCUAACUGAAAAGUUAUUUGAGGUCAGUCCCGUUAAUCUAAAAUUUUGGAUUGGUUAAAAUUUGCAAAGAAAAUGAAUAAAUUGAUUUGAAAAUUUGAAUUUAUUUAUGGAUUCUGACCCAAUUUACUAGAUUGAUAUUGAAUUUUAAAUUUGGUUAAAGUUUGUAAACGAAGGGAUUGAAGUGAUAUGAAAAGUGUAAUUUCUGUAUAGAUCACGUACCAGAUUGAAUAAGUUGUUCUGGAUGGCAGUAUUAAUAAGAUGCACUUCUUAAAAUUGUACGAUGUCUUGAAGAUUAGGAUUAGAUUCUGUGACUAUCUAUUAAGUUAUGAUAGGCAUAGGCUUUCAUUAAUUCAAAUGUAGAAAGGUAUAUGAGAUGUGAUUUGCUUGUUUAUGUUGCUUUCACCAAAUGCUGGUGUGAUGAGUUUAAUUAUUUUUAUUUGACUUUUUCUGAUAAAUUUAGUUGUAAGCUAAAUGGCUUGGCAUUUUUCUUUUGAUUAUACUACCCUUUGGCACAAGGUCAUUGCUCUUAAGUAUGAGCCCCAUCCCGUGCUGUUUUUGUCGAGUGAGGUUAAAGGCAUCGGAAUUUGUCGAAGGAUAUUUCUAUAGAGCCUCCCCUCUUUUUCCCAUUUCUUCUGUUGUGUGGUAGGAGAGGGUAAGGAAACAUAUUUAUAGGAAGAUUACUGGUCAGGGAGUUCAGUUUUCUUUUACUUUGGGUUUAGUUGCUCUUUGACCAGUAGAGAAGCAACUGUUGUCAUCUCUUUGUUGUCGUUUGGGGGAGUUUGACUUUAGGCAGGAGAUAGAAUUUGUGCGCCAGGAAUCCUGGCAAUUUGUAAGGAUUCUCAUGUAAUUCAUUUUCCAUUGUCUGUUGGAUCCUUCUCGUUCUCCUUCUAGUAAGUCUAUUUUUUUUCAGUGUUUUGGAGGAUUAAGAUUUCUUAGAAAGUGAAAUUCUUUACUUCAAGUUCUACAUGGACAUGUGAACACUUCGAAUCGGCCCUAAAGGAGGAUAUCGUUGUUAGUGGGCCUGUUUUUUUUUUUUUUUUUUGUUGGAAGUUGGAGGAAGAUCUGAAUCACAUCUUUUAGAGCUGUGAGUUUGCAGAUUCUAUCUUGAAUUUGUUCUUUGAAAGUUUUGGUUUUGUGCUUGCCCGUCAAAAGGACAUUAGUGUUAUAUUCAGGAAGUUCCUCUUCCAUCCACCACUUCUAUUCAGGAAGUUUCUUGUGGUUGGAAGGUUUUGCGCUAUUAUCUUCUUCUUCUUUUAAAUAUGAAAGUGUAUGCUAUCAUGUGGAAUUGUGUAGGAGAAAGGAACAAAGUGUUUAUAGGGUUGGAAAAGGAGCCCAAUGAUGUUGGGGUUCUUAUUAGGUUUCAUGUUUCUCUUUGGGAUUUGACUUCAUCUUUUUCCUUAGUGAAAUUCAUUUCUUUUUGAAGAAUGUUUUGUUCUUAAGUGUUAAUAAGUUAGUUAAGUAAAAAAAUUUAUAUUCACAAGUUCUGAUAAUUUAUUAAGUUUUGAUGUUAUGUUCCUAUUUUUAUAAGUUGAGUGGUUUGUUUUAAUUUGAUGAGUUAGUAUUCAUUUUCAUGAUAAGUUUGUUUAGGUGUUUUUUCUAUAUACGUUAGUGUAUGGGCCAACUUACACAUACUAUGACUAAUCUCACGAGACAACCAGCCUGACCUACAACAUUUGGGUGUCAUGGAAACCUUUAUAUUAAAUUCUAGGUAGGUGACCACCAUUGAUUGAAUCCAUGACCUCUUGGCCCUUUGGCCUUUUUUUUAUAUUCCCAUUACCACUAGGCCAACCCUCGAGGUUUUGUUAUGUUCAUGUUUCUUUUAGUUUUGUUUGUUUAAAUUUUACAAGUUUACCAUUUUUACGAUAAGCUCGUUUAGUUCUAUUGUUUAUUUUAAUUUGACGAGUAAGUAUCUAUUUUCAUGAUAAGUUUCUAAAUUUGUUAAGGUUUAUUGUUAAUGUUUUGAUAAGUUUGGUUUGAAUUUGAUAAGUUUAGUAGUGUUUAUAAGUUUCGAUAAGUUCGUUAAGUUUUGUUGUCGUGUUCAUAAAUUUUGAUAAGUUCGUAGUUUACUUCGAUUUAAUACCAUCAAUGAAAUUAUGUUGUGUUUUUCAUAAAAAAAAAUAGUUUUUUUCAAUUCCCAAUUCUACUUCUUUCAUUAUUUCAUUUCUUCAUCUACGUCAGAUUCUAUGCACGUAUGAUUUUGACUUGAGAACAAAUUGUACCACGUUUUAUGAAACUAUGAAAAACUAGGUGGAUUUUAUUUUAUUUUUUGGCUGCACUGACAAAAUGUUGCGCUCGACAAACCCAAUCAAUCAUGUUAUAGGUAAAUAAACGAUUAAGUUAUACUUGGUGAAACUCUUGUUUCUUCAUAACUUUGGCAAAUUCCAUUCAGAUUCUAGACUUUGCUUUUUCUUGGCUUUUCAAAUACUGAGAUCAUUGAAUCUUUUGCUGGUAAUUUGAACAUAAUUUUUAUUUAUUUAUUUACUUUCAUGCCUU